CUUCAAUUUUAGAAACGAAAAUUUGUUUAGCAGUUCUAAUAGCGGAAGUAACUUUAUUUCUUGCUGAUCAGAAGUUAGCCCACUUCGUUGGAUGGUUACAUUUCUUUGCAAUUUUAUGUAGGCGAUUACGUUUCCGAAUCAAAGAACCAAAUUAAUUCAUUUGGUAUUUGAUAUACGUUUUUGCUUU